rnacentral:rRNA from 1 species
GAUGAACGCUGGCGGCGUGCCUAAUACAUGCAAGUCGAGCGGUAAGGCCCCUUCGGGGGUACACGAGCGGCGGACGGCUGAGUAACACGUAGGAACGUACCCCAAAGUGAGGGAUAAGCACCGGAAACGGUGUCUAAUACCGCAUGUGGUCUUCGGACUAAAGCUCCGGCGCUUUGGGAACGGCCUGCGCAUGAUUAGCUUGUUGGUGAGGUAAUAGCUCACCAAGGCGAUGAUCAUAGCUGGUCUGAGAGGAUGAUCAGCCAGACUGGGACUGAGAACGGCCCAGACUCCUACGGGAGGCAGCAGUAGGGAAUCUUGCACAAUGGGGGAAACCCUGAUGCAGCGACGCCGCGUGGAGGAUGAAGGAUCUAGGUCUGUAAACCCCUUUUNAGGGAAAGACUUAGGACGGUACCCUGAGAAUAAGACCGGCUAACUACGUGCCAGCCGCCGCCGUAACAU